GUGGCAAUGUAAUGCAGUACAUAUAUAAGGACUCUGCUUUUGCACACUACUCGGCACAAAAUCAAAAAGAAAAUACUGUCUAGGCCAGCCAGUUAGUAUUUCGCAUUUCUUUUGGCAGCGAAAGAGCUAGGACAUAUCUAGCUACUUGUGAGUUGUGACACGCUUAGUGUUAAAAAAAACAAACUACGAUCGUAAAAAAGAGUUCUUGAGACUAGUUUGAUGGGCAUCUUAUUCAGGACGCUUUAUGCAAACAAAUGCUUGAUAUGUCUAACUGAGAUUUCCUUUUUUUAUUGGUCUCAGUUAGUCUGGUGUAAUAAGGCCUUGUUUAGUUUCAAAAUUUUUGGUAAAAUGAGCACUGUAGCAAUUUCGUUUGUAUUUGACAAAUAUUGUCCAAUCAUGGACUAACUAGGCUCAAAAGAUUCGUCUUGUCAAUUUCGACCAAACUGUACAAUUAGUUUUUAUUUUUAUCUAUAUUUAAUAUUUCAUACAUACAUCUAAAGAUUCGAUGUGAUGGGGAAUCUGAAAAAUUUUGCAAAAUUUUUGGGAACUAAACAAGACCUAAGUGACUGAGAAUCAGGUCGUUUCAGAUAAAGUACAGACUUUAAGGACAUGGGCUCGGAUUCCCUAAGGCCUUGUUUAGUUCCCAAAUAAUUUCGGAUUUCGGUACUGUAUUAUUUUUAUUUUUAUUUGACAAAUAUUAUUUAAUUAUAGACUAACUAGGCUUAAAAGAUUCAUCUCGUGAUUUACAGGCAAACUGUGCAAUUAGUUUUUGUUUUUAUUUAUAUUUAAUGCUCCAUGCAUGUACCGUAAGAUUCGAUGUGACGGAAAAUCUUGAAAAGUUUUUAGUUUCUUGGGUGAACUAAACAAGGCCUAAUAUCAUAUCAUCUACUAGUACGGCGGCAAAUUUGGUUACAAACAGAGUGAGAGCGCGAGAGCCUGCACUGCACAGGAGAUGAAACUGAAAGGUGCUGCAAGAUUUGACCAUUGCUGCCUGCAAGCCCUAUCCAUGCGAGGUGGUUUCCUCUCAAAAAGCGAGAGAACUUUCCCUCGCUAACCAGUGGCUGGAAACCUGAGUCAACUAUUAGGACAACAGGACUUUAAUUUGUGCUUGCUGUACCUUUGCAUACUGAUGAUACUCCUAAUAGUUUCAAGUUGCGACACACACACACACACACACACACACACUCUGCAGCACAGGCGAAACGCAUAUGCAUAUUAGGAGUAUCAUCGGCAUCAACAGGCGGAUAUGGACAACAGCCUUCUGUCGGGUGCUUGCUUGCUUCCUCCCAUUAUUGCACUAAAGAAAGAGGCAAAAUAUGCACAAAAUCCUAAAAGAACACACUAGAACAAUGCUAUUCUGCUGGAGUGCUGGUUGUUGCACUGCCAGUG
rnacentral:lncRNA from 1 species